rnacentral:rRNA from 1 species
GACGAACGCUGGCGGCGUGCCUAAUACAUGCAAGUAGAACGCUGAAGCGAGGAGCUUGCUCUUCUUGGAUGAGUUGCGAACGGGUGAGUAACGCGUAGGUAACCUGCCUUGUAGCGGGGGAUAACUAUUGGAAACGAUAGCUAAUACCGCAUAACAAUAGGUGACACAUGUCAUUUAUUUGAAAGGGGCAAUUGCUCCACUACAAGAUGGACCUGCGUUGUAUUAGCUAGUAGGUGAGGUAACGGCUCACCUAGGCGACGAUACAUAGCCGACCUGAGAGGGUGAUCGGCCACACUGGGACUGGGACACGGCCCAGACUCCUACGGGAGGCAGCAGUAGGGAAUCUUCGGCAAUGGGGGCAACCCUGACCGAGCAACGCCGCGUGAGUGAAGAAGGUUUUCGGAUCGUAAAGCUCUGUUGUAAGUCAAGAACGAGUGUGAGAGUGGAAAGUUCACACUGUGACGGCAGCUUACCAGAAAGGGACGGCUAACUACGUG